rnacentral:rRNA from 1 species
AUGCAUAUAUGCAUGGAUCAAGGGAGCCAAUUGGGGAUGGCUUACUGUCUUCCUAACCUCAGUGUGCCAGAUCACUACUACACCACACCUGUUCCUCUUUCUCCACUUCAACUACCCUUCCAUCCCAAGCCUCUCCAGAUGCCAUUCGACCAGGAAGAAGCCUUGAUGCUCUCUUCUGACCAUUGUGGGCUAUACCCGCUGCCGGCGCUUCCGCUCGGCAGCGGCCACUCCGCCGGCGCGCCUGCCAUCGUCUGCGAGAAGCCCACGGUCGGUUUCAUGCCUAAUAUUGGGGCUGAGGAGGUGGGCACGUCGGUGACGGCAAGAGUUGGCUAUGAGGGUGCCACUGCCUGUAAUGGUUAUUCUAGUAAUACAUGGUGGAGGGGCUCGACGAUGUUGGCGGGGGAGAAGGGGAAGAUGAAGGUGAGGAGGAAGAUGAGGGAGCCGAGGUUUUGCUUCCAGACCAGAAGCGACGUGGAUGUACUUGACGAUGGCUACAAGUGGAGGAAAUACGGGCAGAAGGUUGUCAAGAACAGUCUGCAUCCCAGGAGCUACUUCAGGUGCACGCACAGCAACUGCCGCGUGAAGAAGCGCGUGGAGCGGCUGUCGACGGACUGCCGCAUGGUGAUCACCACGUACGAGGGCCGCCACACGCACCCCCCCUGCGACGACAAUUCCUCCUCCUCCGGCGACAACACCACCACCUGCUUCUGA